ensembl:lncRNA
GCCAUGUGUAAAAGACGGUUUGAUUUGGCAUGCUUGCACUGUAUUCUGUCUGGUGUGCAAGGCAGUGACUCUUGUACGUGCCAGUUCAGCUUUCUGACGGGAAAUGCCUGAAGAGCUGCCCCGGUGCAAUUGCUCUCAAGCUGUGCGCUAUUUGGCAGUGCAGAAGAAGGGCGUCAUUUCAGCUGUGCUUUCCUCGCAGCUGUGCUGAAGCUGGGAUUGAUGUUGCAAUGUCUUGCAGGUGGGAGACCUGGUGUGCAUUCUUGCUAUGCCAGCAAAGGAGCUGAGCCCCUGGUGGAGAGGCAAGCGUGGCUUUCAGGUAGGCACAAGCUUCAGACUUGCGGGCGCAAUGGCAGUCAAGUCAGGAAGGUCAGCUUCGAGCUGCUCGGCCUGCACAGGGUGGCUUCUGGACGUCAACAGUUUCCCUGUGUCGGUGUCAGCGGCCUUUCCCUUUGGCUCUGGGCUUGGGUAGGAAAGCAUCUCCUCAUGUGACUUAGAAGCAAGAGCCUCUCCUGCUCACUGCACAGUCAGGAGUUGACCAUGUCUGUCCUUUGUACAAGCACGGAGGACAGAGCCAUCUUCUGCGGAACCAAGUCUUGGUUUUGUAGGUCUUUUGGCUGCAAAUGUGGAAUGAGGGUUCCUUUUCUGCAGGCCAUUCUUUCUUGGUUUAACGGUGGAGGCCUGAGAAGUGCUGCAUUCAGUCUUCCAUCUCUCUUCUUGUUCUUGUUCCAGGUGGGAUUUUUCCCUGGUGAGUGCGUGGAGCUCAUCAACGGAAAAAUUCCUGAGGCCCUCAUCGAUUCAGCACCAAAGCCAGGUACGGAUGUUACAUGUGAUGGCGCGGGGAAGUCAAAGGGAGUCGUCUUCUGGGUGUGUUCCGUGUUGAAUAGCUCCUUUAUCCAUCCCACGUUAUCCUCUGUGUUGAUGAUCCUUCAUGCAUCCCACGGGGCAUACGGCUGCUGUUUUGUAGGCAGUGAGAAUGAGGGCUUGGGCAAAUGAUAGGAUCCUCGUAGAAUGGCUUGGGAUGGAAGGGACCUCAAGGAUCAUCAAGCUCCAAGCCCCGUGCCUCAGGCUGGGCUGCCAACCUCCACUUUGAAUGCCAGACUAGACCAGGCUGCCCAGGGCCCCAUCCAACGUGGCCUUGGACUCCUCCAGGGACGGGGAAAGUCCGUUGUUGUAUGUACUUGUUGGCAAUGUUCUUCCCGCUUUUACGUGCUCUGUAGAAUGUGUGACGCUCAGCCUGGUCCCGCUGAGCCCAACGUGAAAUGAACUGGUUUCUUCCUUGUGUUGCACAGUGCCAAAGAAGCGCGGCAAGCUCAUCAGCUUCCUUCGUUCCUUGGUGAAGGCCCGCCCAAAGGAACCGAAGCAGCGGGAGAUAAAGAAGGAAGGGGUGUUUGGCUGUGACCUGGGAGAGCAUCUUCUCCACUCUGGCCGUGACGGUAAAGAACAGCCCCUUCCUGAGAGCUUCCUCUGUUGGGCAUGUAAAGAUGAAAGGGAGAUCAUCUCUGGCAAGGGGCAGGUUGAUAGCGGUGGAGAAAGGUGAGGUGGGAGUUGAUGGCUGAAAGGUAAGCUGAGGCUAAUGCUCAUAGGAGAGCAGCCCACUUGUAUUUGCUUAAAGCAAAAGGUGUAAGCCAAUGCCACGCUAGCCUGAAAACAAAGGCAGCCUUUUGGCCCAAGAGAGUGUACCGCGUCAGUUUCCUAGCUCUUCUGGACAUGAGGUUUCACGCCUCCAUUGCGGUGGGAGCUGUGACGGGACUUGCAGUGUCUCUGGCUUCCCCAGAAUUACUUUCUGCAGGCUGGUUGGCAGGUCCUGGCAUUUGUGGAAAGCCAAGAACACGUCUGUGUCCAGAUUCCUCCCCGGCUCCUGCCUGUCAGAGACGUCUGUGACAGCUUUCUUUCUCCUCUAAGGAGGAGGCAUGCAGUAGCGCGGCUGGGCUUAGUGGAUGGGACGUGACAGGAGCAGCGGCUGAAGCAGGACUUGAAUCAGGAGCUCAGCUAACCGCUGGCACUUG